UACGGAGGGUGCAAGCGUUAUCCGGAUUCACUGGGUUUAAAGGGUGCGUAGGUGGGCCUGUAAGUCAGCGGUGAAAUCUCCGGGCUUAACCCGGAAACUGCCAUUGAUACUAUAGGUCUUGAAUUAUCUGGAGGUAAGCGGAAUAUGUCAUGUAGCGGUGAAAUGCUUAGAUAUGACAUAGAACACCAAUUGCGAAGGCAGCUUACUACGGAUCGAUUGACACUGAGGCACGAAAGCGUGGGGGAUCAAAACAGG
rnacentral:rRNA from 1 species